rnacentral:tRNA from 1 species
GCGAGGGUAUCUAAGCCUGGUCAAAAGAGGCAGACUCAAGAUCUGCUCCCGAAGGGGUUCGCGGGUUCAAAUCCCUCCCCUCGCA